AAUAAAGUGCCUGAAAAAGGAUUAUUCUGAUAGGAUAAGUUAUAUAAUCAAUUGAUUAUCUUUAUUA
rnacentral:tRNA from 1 species